rnacentral:rRNA from 1 species
GAUGAACGCUGGCGGCGUGCCUAAUACAUGCAAGUCGAGCGAACAGACGAGGAGCUUGCUCCUCUGACGUUAGCGGCGGACGGGUGAGUAACACGUGGAUAACCUACCUAUAAGACUGGGAUAACUUCGGGAAACCGGAGCUAAUACCGGAUAAUAUAUUGAAUCGCAUGGUUCAAUAGUGAAAGACGGUUUUGCUGUCACUUAUAGAUGGAUCCGCGCCGCAUUAGCUAGUUGGUAAGGUAACGGCUUACCAAGGCAACGAUGCGUAGCCGACCUGAGAGGGUGAUCGGCCACACUGGAACUGAGACACGGUCCAGACUCCUACGGGAGGCAGCAGUAGGGAAUCUUCCGCAAGGGGCGAAAGCUUGACGGAGCAACGCCGCGUGAGUGAUGAAGGUCUUCGGAUCGUAAAACUCUGUUAUUAGGGAAGAACAAAUGUGUAAGUAACUAUGCACGUCUUGACGGUACCUAAUCAGAAAGCCACGGCUAACUACGUG